GACGUAGGAGGCGAGCGUUGUCCGGAUUCAUUGGGCGUAAAGAGCACGCAGGCGGUUUGGCAAGUCGGAUGUGAAAACCCGAAGCUCAACUUCGGGGCGUGCAUCCGAAACUGCCCGACUAGAGGUAGGUAGGGGAGAUCGGAAUUCCUGGUGUAGCGGUGAAAUGCGCAGAUAUCAGGAGGAACACCGGUGGCGAAGGCGGGUCUCUGGGCCGUAACUGACGCUGAGGAGCGAAAGCGUGGGGAGCGAACAGG
rnacentral:rRNA from 1 species